GGAAGGCACUCUUAGAGGGUGGUUGAGAUUGAUGUUGAGCCAAUCAAUCCACAAUAUCUGUCAUGCUGUGGAUGGAACCAAUUUGGGAGAAAAAUCAAGAGUUCAGUUUUGAACACGGUAGAUUUAAGGAAGAAAGACCCGGCUGGAGAUACACAUUUGGGGGAGUCACCAGAACACAGCAGGCUUUUAAAGCCAUGAUACUGGAUGAGCUCACCUAAGGAGUACAUGUAGCUAGAGCAGAGAAGAUAUUGGAGCACUGUGAUAUCCAGAGGUCGAGGAGAUGAGACGGAACUGGCAAAGAGACUGCACAGGCGGGGCAAGGAGAAGUGGGUUCCAGAAUCCAGGAAAAGACAGGAUUGCAAGGAGGAGGAUAACCAGCUGUGUCUGGUGGUGAUCUUAGUUGAAACAAGAUGAAAACCAAGAUUGGACCAUCAGGUUUGACACAGUAAGGAGGUCACGGUGACAAGAGCUGUCCAAUGGGAAGGUGGGAAAGAAACCCUGAUUGCAAUGCUUUUAAAAGGGAAUUAUGGGCCAGGUACAGUGGCUCAUGACUGUAAUCCCAGAACUCUGGGAGGUUGAGGUGGGUGGAUCAAGAAGACAGGAGUUCAAGACCAGUUUGACCAAGAUGGUGAAACCCCAUCUCCACUAAAAAUACAAAAAAAAAUUAGCUGGGCAUGGUGGCAGGAGCCUAUAGUCCCAGCUACUCAGGAGGCUGGGGCAGAGAAUUGCUUGAACCUGGGAGGCGGAGAUUGCAGUGAGCUGAGAUUACACCACUGUACUUCAGCUUGGGUGACAAAGUAAGACUCUGUCUCAAAAAAAAAAAAAAGGUGGGGGGAAUCAGGGAGAGAGCAUGGAGGCACCAAGUGUGGCCAUUCUUUUGAGGAGGUGCACUGCAAAGAGGAGCAGAGAGCUGGGAGAGGAGCUGACCAGCAAGAAAAUGGAAAUCUCAGUCCUACAACCACCAGAAACUGAAUUCUGCUAACAACCAUAUGCAUUUGAACAAGACUCUGUGAUCUAGAAGGGAACACAGCCCAGCUGACACCUUAAUCACAGCCUGUGUGACCCUGAACAGUGGACCCAUUGCAGCUGUGCUCAGACUUCUAACCCAUGGACAUUCUGAGAUAAUGAAUUUGUGCUGUUCCAAGCCAU
rnacentral:lncRNA from 1 species